rnacentral:rRNA from 1 species
UGUAAGCGUAUACCAAAGUUGUUGCAGUUAAAACGCUCGUAGUCGGAAUUUGGCAGUUCCGGAUGUGUGCACGUCGUGUGCGCACUUCGCGGGGAUUGCUUUUGUGGUCUUGCGUAGGAUGAGGCACUUUUAUUAGUGAACGUCCUCCCGCAACCACUUUUUACUGUGAGAAAAUCAGAGUGCUCAAAGCAGGCAUUUGCCGUGAAUGUAUUAGCAUGGAAUAAUAGAAUAGGACUUGGUUCUAUUUUGUUGGUUUGUUGGGACUGAGUAAUGAUUAAGAGGGACAGUUGGGGGCAUUUGUAUUUCGGUGCUAGAGGUGAAAUUCUUAGAUUACCGAAAGACAAACUGCUGCGAAAGCGUCUGCCAAGGAUGUUUUCAUUGA